AAAGAUGCGCUAAUACCGCAUAAUCUCUAAGGAGAAAAGCAGGGGAUCGCAAGACCUUGCGAUUUUGGAGCGGCCGAUGUCUGAUUAGAUAGUUGGUGAGGUAAAGGCUUACCAAGGCUUCGAUCAGUAGCUGGUCUGAAAGGACGACCAGCCACACUGGGACUGAGACACGGACCAGACUCCUACGGGAGGCAGCAGUGGGGAAUUUUGGACAAUGGGGGCAACCCUGAUCCAGCCAUGCCGCGUGAGUGAAGAAGGCCUUCGGGUUGUAAAGCUCUUUCAGCCGGAACGAAAAGGUUACGGUUAAUACCCGUGACUAAUGACGGUACCGGAAGAAGAAGCACCGGCUAACUACGUGCCAGCAGCCGCGGUAAUACGUAGGGUGCGAGCGUUAAUCGGAAUUACUGGGCGUAAAGCGUGCGCAGGCGGUUUUGUAAGUCAGAUGUGAAAUCCCCGGGCUUAACCUGGGAA
rnacentral:rRNA from 1 species